rnacentral:lncRNA from 1 species
CUGCACACGGAGGACUGUUCAGCAGCCCACAGCAGCCUGUGCCACACCGCUUACUGUUGAGAUCUUGACUUACGGGAUGCAAAGCUUUUAUACACAGGCAACUCCCACCUGGGUUACUGCUCCAGAGGGAAACUAGAAUCCCCCUGAGGAUGAAAAUUUCCAGCAAGGUUUCCUCACAGAGAUUCAAGCCUCCUGAGCAUACACAAACCCCAGUGGCAGACACAGCUUCAGUCAAAGUGACAGAAGAGGCAUGUGUAGAAAGGUCACAUCUGCCAUGAACCUAGACCUGUGUGUCAGCUUAGCCCUCAGGAGUACCAGGACCUGGGGCUCUAUCUACUCAGCUGGUCCUUGGCGAGAAGGUAAUGUGCUUUGAAAUCUUGGCAUGUACAUGUACUAGAAGGUGAUUUCAGCUAAA